CCUCCAUCCCUUGAAUCUACCCCUGACAUUUCCCCCGUUCUCCCUAACCCUUGAUAUUCAAUUCUCCCCAAAAUUUUCCACCGUUCUUCCCGAUAUUCCCCCUAAAAAUGUCCCCAGCCCUCGAAUCUUCCCGUCGAAACGUCCUUAGCACUUGAAUCUUCCCCGUCAAAACGUCCCCAGCCCUCGAAUCUUCCCCCUCGAAGUCCGAUCGCGGACGCCGACCAACGCGCCCCUAUUCCACCACCCUCAUCUUCGCCGGAACUCUUCUCUCUUUCGUCGCCCUCAUCUUCGCCGGCACUCUUGUCCAUCGGCACUCUCGUCGGGAAUCUAGCUCCUCCGCCUCAUCCUCCACCGCCUCUGGAUUCCACCGCAUCCUCCUCCACCGCCUCGUCCUCAGAGACAAUUUGUUUCGGUUUGAAGAGAAGGACGAUGAGUUGGAUAUAUCUCUGAUUGCUUUUGUCCAUAACGGAUGGAGAUGGUGAAGCUUAGACUUGUUAACCUUUGUUACGUUCUGCGUUUAGCAUUGUUGAUCCAUUUAGUUCAAUUAGUUCAAAAGAGAAGGAUAUGUGAUGCUUUGGAUGAAAUAAGGAUUAAAGUGGCAUUUGUUGCCAACUAGAAGAGAGAAUAAAGUGAAAUAAUGAAAUCAUUGUGUGGAGUAACUUUAUUCAAGUAAUUCCCAGAAAAAAUGUAGAAUCAGUAUUUUUCUUCAAGUACAUGUUACUCUUUCGUAUACUUUUUUCUCUUUCUUGUUGUGCCUUUCUGGUGAGUAUGUAUGUUUCCUUCAAGUA